rnacentral:rRNA from 1 species
UUAUAAGAGACAGCAGUAGCCACGGGAAUACAGAGGGUGCGAGCGUUAAUCGGAUUUACUGGGCGUAAAGCGUGCGUAGGCGGCUAAUUGAGUCGGAUGUGAAAUCCCUGAGCUUAACUUAGGAAUUGCAUUCGAUACUGGGAAGCUAGAGUAUGGGAGAGGAUGGUAGAAUUUCAGGUGUAGCGGUGAAAUGCGUAGAGAUCUGGAGGAAUACCGAUGGCGAAGGCAGCCAUCUGGCCUAAUACUGACGCUGAGGUACGAAAGCAUGGGGAGCAAACAGGAUUAGAUACCCCAGUAGUCCCUGUCUCUUAUAC